AGAGUUUGAUCCUGGCUCAGAACGAACGCUGGCGGCGUGCUUAACACAUGCAAGUCGAGUGCGCGUGCCGUAGCAAUACGGUAUGGCGCACGGCGCACGGGUGCGUAACACGUGGGCAAUCUGCCCUCCGGUGGGGAAUAACCCCGCGAAAGCGGGGCUAAUUCCGCAUAACAUUCCCUGGACUCUGGUUCGGGGAUUCAAAGCAGCAAUGCGCCGAAGGAGGAGCCCGCGCCCGAUUAGCUAGUUGGUGAGGUGACGGCUCACCAAGGCAAUGAUCGGUAGCUGGUCUGAGAGGAUGGCCAGCCACACUGGAACUGAGACACGGUCCAGACUCCUACGGGAGGCAGCAGUGGGGAAUCUUGCGCAAUGGGCGAAAGCCUGACGCAGCGACGCCGCGUGGGGGAUGAAGCUUCUCGGAGUGUAAACCCCUUUCGACCGGGACGAAUGCCCGCAAGGGAGUGACGGUACCGGUAGAAGAAGCCCCGGCUAACUACGUGCCAGCAGCCGCGGUAAGACGUAGGGGGCCAGCGUUGUUCGGAAUUACUGGGUGUAAAGGGUUCGUAGGCGGUGUGGCAAGUCGGGAGUGAAAUUUCUGGGCUUAACCCGGAAGCUGCUUCCGAAACUGCUGUGCUAGAGUGCGGGAGAGGCGCGUGGAAUUGCAGGUGUAGCGGUGAAAUGCGUAGAUAUCUGCAGGAACACCCGUGGCGAAAGCGGCGCGCUGGACCGUUACUGACGCUGAGGAACGAAAGCUAGGGGAGCAAACAGGAUUAGAUACCCUGGUAGUCCUAGCCCUAAACGAUCAGGACUUGGGGUGCCUUCCGUUCGGAAGUCGUCCCGGAGCUAACGCGUUAAGUCCUGCACCUGGGGAGUACGGUCGCAAGACUGAAACUCAAAGGAAUUGACGGGGGCCCGCACAAGCGGUGGAACAUGUGGUUCAAUUCGACGCUACGCGAGGAACCUUACC
rnacentral:rRNA from 1 species